rnacentral:rRNA from 1 species
UACGUAGGGGGCAAGCGUUGUCCGGAAUCAUUGGGCGUAAAGCGAGCGUAGGCGGCCCGAUAAGUCUGCUGUGAAAGUCAACGGCUCAACCGUUGAAAGCCGGUGGAUACUGUCGGGCUAGAGUUCGGAAGAGGCAAGUGGAAUUCCUGGUGUAGCGGUGGAAUGCGCAGAUAUCAGGAGGAACACCGAUGGCGAAGGCAGGUCUCUGGGCAUUAACUGACGCUGAGGAGCGAAAGCAUGGGGAGCGAACAGG